AAUUCAGAUCUAUUUAUACUUAUUUUCCUCUUUCUUGCCCUACAGAAAACUACAAAGACUGCCAUAUAUCCUGGCCACUCAUUCCCCACCUUAUUCUCAGACUUCUCAUUCAGGGAAGAACCUCUGAAAACUAAAAACUAAGAGGACUUCAAAAAGAAGCUGAUGGUUCAGAGCCAAUGGCUUUUCAACUGCUGUCCAGAAAUGGUAAAAGAUUUUCUGAAAGCAGGUCAUGGCAUUUAUGAAGAU
rnacentral:lncRNA from 1 species